UACGUUCCCGGGUCUUGUACACACCGCCCGUCACACCAUGGAAGUUGGUUCUACCUUAAGCCGCAGCUUCAAACCUGCGAACACGGUAGGGUCAAUGACUGGGGUG
rnacentral:rRNA from 1 species